rnacentral:rRNA from 1 species
GGGGGGGGGGGGGGGGGGGGGGGGGGGGGGCGGGGCGGGCGCGGGGGCGUGGGGCGUGCGCGGGGGGGGUGGGUGGCGGACGGGUGAGGAAUACGUGCGUGGCGUGCCCUUGACUCUGGGGUAAGCCUGGGAAACUGGGUCUACUACUGGAUACGACAUGCCACUGCCUGGUGGUGUGUGGCACGGUGUUUACUGGUUUUGGAUUGGCUCACGGCCUAUCAGCUUGUUGGUGGGGUAAUGGCCUACCAAGGCGACGACGGGUAGCCGGCCUGAGAGGGUGACCGGCCACACUGGGACUGAGACACGGCCCAGACUCCUACGGGAGGCAGCAGUGGGGAAUAUUGCACAAUGGGCGGAAGCCUGAUGCAGCGACGCCGCGUGAGGGAUGACGGCCUUCGGGUUGUAAACCUCUUUCAGCACGGAAGAAGCGAGAGUGACGGUACGUGCAGAAGAAGCGCCGGCUAACUACGUG